UAAUUGAAGAGUUUGAUCAUGGCUCAGAUUGAACGCUGGCGGCAGGCCUAACACAUGCAAGUCGAGCGGCAGCACAGAGGAACUUGUUCCUUGGGUGGCGAGCGGCGGACGGGUGAGUAAUGCCUGGGAAAUUGCCCGGUAGAGGGGGAUAACCAUUGGAAACGAUGGCUAAUACCGCAUAACCUCGCAAGAGCAAAGCAGGGGACCUUCGGGCCUUGCGCUA
rnacentral:rRNA from 1 species